CCUACGGGCGGCUGCAGUUGGGAAUAUUGCACAAUGGGCGCAAGCCUGAUGCAGCCAUGCCGCGUGUGUGAAGAAGGCCUUCGGGUUGUAAAGCACUUUCAGCGGGGCGGAAGGCGGUGAGGUUAAUAACCUCAUCGAUUGACGUUACCCGCAGAAGAAGCACCGGCUAACUCCGUGCCAGCAGCCGCGGUAAUACGGAGGGUGCAAGCGUUAAUCGGAAUUACUGGGCGUAAAGCGCACGCAGGCGGUCUGUCAAGUCGGAUGUGAAAUCCCCGGGCUCAACCUGGGAACUGCAUUCGAAACUGGCAGGCUAGAGUCUUGUAGAGGGGGGUAGAAUUCCAGGUGUAGCGGUGAAAUGCGUAGAGAUCUGGAGGAAUACCGGUGGCGAAGGCGGCCCCCUGGACAAAGACUGACGCUCAGGUGCGAAAGCGUGGGGAGCAAACAGGAUUAGAUACCCCAGUAGUC
rnacentral:rRNA from 1 species